CAUUGAAACACGAGUUCUCAUACAAUCGCUGAAGUUAAGCAACAUCGAGCUUGGUCAUUAUCUAGAUGGGUGACCACUUGGGAAUAUCAGGUACUGUAAG